rnacentral:sRNA from 1 species
GGAGUUCUAAGCGAAGCACCCCGAUCACCCCCGGACUUGUAAGACCUCCUACGCUCCUGCGCUCCUGCGAGAGAGAACCUCGCUCAACCUCGAUCCUCGACAUGCUCCCUCCUUGCCCUGCUUCCUCAUCGUCGUCCUCCUCAUCAUCAUCUCUGCGUCUUGCUCGCCCUCAACUCCAUCUUGCUCGCCCUCAUCUGAGAAGAGGAGCAUAAACGGAAGGCUAAGGCUAAGGCUACUGGAUUUUGUAAAUUAUGGAGAUCUACUUUGGAAUGCUAUACUAUAGUUCACUGGCAUUUUGUAAAAUAUCCUGGAUGAAAGUUUGGUGAAUGAUGUUUUAAGAGUCAAUCAAUGGCAAAGAUUGACUUGUCACAAGUAUCUUCUUAUGUACUUGUAUUUGUUGAAGUUGCAUGUAUUGGGCACUAUUCUUUUUCUUAUUUUGGGUGAUAGAGUUUAAAUCAAGUUACAUUUGCAAAUUAAACUCAACCACUUAUAAAUAGUAUGUCUCA